rnacentral:tRNA from 3 species
GGGGGUUUAGCUCAGCUGGUAGAGCAUCUGAUUUGCAUUCAGAAGGUCAGGAGUUCGAACCUCCUAGCCUCCA